UGACGAUCAGCUUUACUCUCGGGAUCUUCUUCGGGGUACUCAACGUCGCGGGCAUCCCAAGAGCUGUGUGCACCAUAAGAAUAAUCACUAUCGUGCGAAUAUUUAGAGCUAUCGACGUCUCUUCGAGAACCAUUACCAAACCGAUUUCUGCGUUUUGAGGAUAAAGGUUCUUCCAUUUGAGUUCGAUACCGCCGACGAUUAGAUCCAUUGGAAGACUCGAAAUUACUUCCAGACCAGCUAGAAUAAGAAUUUCUACGAUAUUUAUCAUCUUCACUUUCAAACUCUUGAUGAUCGUCAACAGAUGACCGUUGACGAAGGGGACGAAAAUGUUUUUCAUGUGGAUUUUUAGGUCUCUUAAAUUCCACCCUGUCAUAGUUUCCUAUAGACUCCAAGGAAUCAUUUUCUACUUGGGAUAAUUCAGAGCGCCCUUCUACUUGAGAUUUCUCUUUCUUUUUUUGAACAGCAAGAACAUCCAAUCCAAGCUGGGAUUUUUUGGGUUCUCGGCCUUUCAAACCAGAACGAUUAGACAAAACUAAUCCAGCUACCUGAGACCCAUCAUUCCCAGGAAGUUUAUCUUUAGAAAUCCCCAAAUUUGUCUCUAAACCAAUUAUAGAUUUGCAUAAAUCGUAAAUAAGGACGCUGUCAUUAUCGGAAAAUCGUCCAAAUGUAUGUAAUGCAUUAGAAAACUCGGUGCUGGACGAGCUACCCUUGGCAAUUGUCAAAACUCGACUGGCAAGCGAUGUAGCUGCAUCUUUACUGGACAUAUAAUCAGUUAAUUUAUCUAUUAACUUCGUAAAUAGCAAAUCAUUUUGAUUAUGUGAAAGCAUACCUACUAAAUCAAUAAGGUUGCUGGCGGAAGGCGAACUUACUCAGACCCUCCGGCCCCCCAAAGGUGCAAAAUCAUGAACCUGAGUAAUUGACAAUUAACAAUUUAUCAGUACUUCAAUGUUUAAAUAAAAAUUGUCAUAUGAAUUAAAAGAAUUGUUAGGCAAAAUUUACCAAGUAACGGUAAACCCAAUAUACACUUAAUGCAUACAUUUGCUACUCCACUAAUGUGGAUGAAUUUACUAAAGUUUAAAGACCAUCAUACACCAAAUCAAAUGAAAUUUAUUGUAACUAACCUGAUCCCUUUUUUCCAAAUAUUGAAUUAUGCAAAAAAUCCUCUAUACAAUUAGUGAGCCCUUUAAACCCAUGAAGCGGCCUCUUAGGAGAGUUUUUGAAAACAUGAAGCUAUAAUCUUAAAAUAAAUCAAGAGAAUUAGGACAUCUCAGCAUCUUGAUCAUCAUCGUCUUCUAUAUCUUCAUAGUCAUCAUCAUCAGAAGAGUCCUCCCCGGCACCUCUGUCUUCUAACUGAACGAUGCGCUCUUUUUUAGUAACUUCCUCAGUAACUCUACUUUCAAACGCUUUUCGAACACCAGGAUUAGUUGCAGUGUCCCAGACACGAACGACUCCUUUGCUUCCGGAGGCAGCUAGAUGGAAAGCAGUUGAUUCGUCCGUAGUAAAGGAGCAAGUAAACACACGUCCAACAUCCAAAUCUCUAGAAACAACCAUCUUCGGUGAACUAUCGGAAGUGUUCCAGAGUUUAACCACUCUAUCAGUGGAGCCUGUGGCUACAAAAGAAGGAACCGAAGGAUUAACACUGAGACAAGAAAUAGGUCCAUCAUGGGCUUGCAAUUGCCAAACGGACUUUGAGAGAUUUCUAGCAUCGCAAUAAUAAACUAUGCCAUUAUCAGUGCCAAUGAAAAAGUUGUUUUCGCUAUGUUGAUCCCAGGCAACAUUUUCAACAUCGCUAGUAACUUGAAAACUCGAUGGAGCUUCUUCAAGGCGAAGGUCAGCUAUUUUUGCAGUUUUAUCAUAACUACCUGACAAUAAUACGGAUGGAGCUUUGGAAUACCAAUCUAAGCAAGAAACUUUGUCAGAAUGAUACGUGAAAGAUUUGACACAAUUGCAUGUGCUCAAAUCCCACAACUUUAGUGUGGUAUCUGCAGAACCAGAAACCAAAAGAUUGUGAGCAUUUCGGUUCGAAGAAAGAGCAAGAACAGCAUCUGUGUGAUAACUAUCAUUUAUUUUUUUAGACUUCUUCUUUUUCUUGUUGACUUGAGAGGCACCUGCACCCAACACGGCUGCAGGGUAAACUGCAUCAAUGAUGUCUAAAUCCCAUAUUUCAAUUUCAGGAUCAAACGUGCCGACAGCAACGUAAUUUCCAGGAGCGUUGUCAGACGUACCCACCUUAUAAUCUAGCCAUUCGAGACACAGAGGAAAGGUAGGGAGAAGAAAAUCAUGAUGCACGUAAAGAUUUUCCUCUGUUGGCUCAUAUACAUACACUUCAACGUGGGACAAGUUAUCUUCUGUGCGCGCAGCUAGCAAAAGGCUGUCUGUUGGUAAUAUUUGCAUUUCCUCUCUUUCCAAAUCGUCCUGUUCCUGAGGAUCAAUAGUGAUAUAUGGAUCUUUUUCUCCAUUUUCAUGGUAAGCCAAUCCACGAAUGUUGCUAAACAUAGCAGCGGGCCCUUCUGUCUCAGCUUCCUCCUCAUCGUCAUCGUAAGUAUCCAAAUUGUAUACUUUCAAUUCAUCAUCUACCUCUUCACUUGUUUGCAACACCCCUUCUGCUCCAUCUGUAGUUUCUUCACCGUUCCCAUUGGCUUUAUUUGAGUCUUCCAUAGAAGAUUGGAGAUCAGCUCGAGCAUCCUCGAGCUUUAACUUUGAAAGCUGAUUAAUUCGCUCAUACUCUAUCUCAUCAAUAUCGUAACUCUUGGGAAACUCUGAUGCAUAACCGCGAGGAACAAAAGCCACAGACGAGACUAUUGACAUGUUGCACCUCUCUUAAUAUUUACUCCGCAAAUCUUUACUUUAAUGUUUAAACCAGAAAACACACCACUCUUGAUCUAAACGAGAUUAAAAAUUUAAAGAUUAAGUAAAUGUCAACGUAUUGAUACGAGUAAAUAAUGGCAUAAAUCGUGCACCGCUACUUGGGAAAAGAAGAACUGAAAAUAUUCGUGUCUUACAAAAAACGUUAUUUAACCGUUUAGCGUAAACCUGCGUUAAAUUAGAUUUCAAAACUUAAGAAAACAUUUUUCUUCGACCAAAAGGCCAUAACGUUCAUGUAGAUAAACUAAAUGCGUUAACUUAAUUUACGUCAACAAGUAUUUUUAC